UACGUAGGGUGCAAGCGUUAAUCGGAAUUACUGGGCGUAAAGCGUGCGCGGGCGGUUAUGUAAGACAGAUGUGAAAUCCCCGGGCUCAACCUGGGAACUGCAUUUGUGACUGCAUAGCUAGAGUACGGCAGAGGGGGAUGGAAUUCCGCGUGUAGCAGUGAAAUGCGUAGAUAUGCGGAGGAACACCGAUGGCGAAGGCAAUCCCCUGGGCCUGUACUGACGCUCAUGCACGAAAGCGUGGGGAGCAAACAGG
rnacentral:rRNA from 1 species